GACGAACGCUGGCGGCGUGCCUAAUACAUGCAAGUAGAACGCUGAAGAGAGGAGCUUGCUCUUCUUGGAAGAGUUGCGAACGGGUGAGUAACGCGUAGGUAACCUGCCUUGUAGCGGGGGAUAACUAUUGGAAACGAUAGCUAAUACCGCAUAACAAUGGGUGACCCAUGUCAUUCAUUUGAAAGGGGCAACUGCUCCACUACAAGAUGGACCUGCGUUGUAUUAGCUAGUAGGUGAGGUAACGGCUCACCUAGGCGACGAUACAUAGCCGACCUGAGAGGGUGAUCGGCCACACUGGGACUGAGACACGGCCCAGACUCCUACGGGAGGCAGCAGUAGGGAAUCUUCGGCAAUGGGGGCAACUCUGACCGAGCAACGCCGCGUGAGUGAAGAAGGUUUUCGGAUCGUAAAGCUCUGUUGUAAGUCAAGAACGAGUGUGAGAGUGGAAAGUUCACACUGUGACGGUAGCUUACCAGAAAGGGACGGCUAACUACGUGCCAGCAGCCGCGGUAAUACGUAGGUCCCGAGCGUUGUCCGGAUUUAUUGGGCGUAAAGCGAGCGCAGGCGGUUUGAUAAGUCUGAAGUUAAAGGCUGUGGCUCAACCAUAGUUCGCUUUGGAAACUGUCAAACUUGAGUGCAGAAGGGGAGAGUGGAAUUCCAUGUGUAGCGGUGAAAUGCGUAGAUAUAUGGAGGAACACCGGUGGCGAAAGCGGCUCUCUGGUCUGUAACUGACGCUGAGGCUCGAAAGCGUGGGGAGCGAACAGG
rnacentral:rRNA from 1 species